rnacentral:pre_miRNA from 1 species
CUAGGGCUGUUAACAGCCAGGCUUUGCCUAAGUCCAGCUAAAAGCUGGACUUAGCCAGAAGCCUGACUGGAAAAAUCCUCCAGUACUG